AAAAAAAUAAAAAUAUAAGUUCCCAGCUACCUGAGUUGCCGAGCCGUGAGGAAGGCGCUCACUUCCGCCUCAGGCCCCGCUGCGUCAGACGGCUGCGCGAAGGGCCGGGCAGCCGCAGAGGGAGAAUGGGACCACUGCUGUUUUGCAUUUUCUGAAAGUGUUUCAAGGCAGAAGUUCAGGUGUCAGAGAGAGCAAUGGAAAGUCACAAGGCAGAAGAAGAGGUGGUGGAUAUUCUUCGACUGAAUGUGGGUGGCUGUAUCUACACAGCCAGGCGUGAAUGCUUGUGCCGCUUUAAGGACUCAAUGCUGGCAUCCAUGUUCAGUGGUUGUUUUCCUCUAAAAACAGAUGAAUCAGGGGCUUGUGUUAGCGACCGUGAUGGACAUCUAUUUAAGUACCUUUUGGAUUAUCUUCACGGAGAAGUUCAUAUUCCCACAGAGGAGCAGACCCGCAUUGCUCUGCAGGAAGAGGCUGAUUGUUUUCGCAUCCCUUAUCCCUACAGCCUGUCAGACCACUUGGCCAAUGAAAUGGAGACAUGUUCUUUAAGAGAGGCGGGAAGUAAUGUUCAGUACGUUUGGAGCUAUUAUUCAGUAGCAGAACUAAAGAAAACGAUGGAUGCCUUUGAUGCCUGGGAAGGAAAAGGUGUUAGCUACUGGUGGGUGCCUCACGAGCUGAUGGAGUGUUGGACUCUGGGAGAGCGGCCUAUACUUGGAAGCCUAUGUCACAUGGCCCCAAUGCGAAAGAGCCGGCUGACGGCCUUCAACGAAGAGGAGGAAGACAGUGUGAAUGGGCGUCGGUGAACGCGGUUGCGGGAGGAAAGGCAGCGCAGCGCUGUGCCCCGUCGAGAGACCCAUCCCUGGUGGGUACCGCAGGUGCUGAGAACGGAGCUGGACACCCGCCUCCAGCUAAGGUUCUGCUCUCCGACAAGAAGGCCAUCCCGCCCCGAGUGAGCGGACUCCCCUGAGUGCCACCGGGCCUUCCCCACCCGCCUGCCCCGCGGAGAGGCUGGUGGGGCCCCCGGAGCUGCCCCCCGACGCUGCCCCCCCCAACCCCCCCGAUGCCCCCGGCGCCUUGGACCUGCGGACUGAGAACCAGCAGCACCAGACGGAUUGAUGGAAACAGGGUCUCAGGACAUCCCGUUUGCCCUCUGAGCUUCCAGCGCGUUUUAUACAAAUAAGUGCCACUCUGCUCAAAUUUGCACUUGAGCUUUACUCCCAAACUCUAGCAAAUCAACGGGAAAUGAGAUCAGAGACAGUGGUGGGGCCAAGUCUGCUGCAAGCAGCUGAAGCUGGUCGACCCUUCCUGAGGGAGCUCCCACCAGCC